UACAGAGGGCUCAAGCGUUGUUCGGAUUUAUUGGGCGUAAAGGGUGCGUAGGCGGCUCGGUAAGUCGGGUGUGAAAUUUCGAGGCUUAACUUCGAAACUGCAUUCGAUACUGCCGUGCUUGAGGACUGGAGAGGAGACUGGAAUUUACGGUGUAGCGGUGAAAUGCGUAGAUAUCGUAAGGAAGACCAGUGGCGAAGGCGGGUCUCUGGACAGUUCCUGACGCUGAGGCACGAAAGCCAGGGGAGCAAACGGG
rnacentral:rRNA from 1 species